GGAUAUAGCAAUUUAACCAUUUAUAAAAAUGUUCAAGAUACAACUAUAUCUUGUACUUGUGCUUGCUUACACCAAUUUAUUACAAUUCAUACAGUAAUACACCAAAAAUAAUUCUAUAAAACUGAGAGUUACUGACAAUUUUCCGUACAAAACUAUAUUUUUUAUCUAUGAAAGUAUAAUCCAAAUUCAAAUAAAACAUAUUUAAUAAUUAAGGUGGUAUUGUUAUAAAGCUUGAAAAAAAAAUUGGUCUAUUUAAAAGUAAAACAAUAUUUUAAAAUAAUUUUUGUUUGCAAUGCAAAAAUCAAUAUAAAUCUUGUGACGCGCGGUGUUCAACUUUAGUCAGCGCCAAGCGCUUAUCGAGGGAGGACGUAUCGCUCGCUGUUGCGCCGCGCAAACUCGCCGGAGCUCGAAAAUAUAGCGCAACCUGCGCAACGAACUCGUUUUGAUACUAGAUAAUGAAAGCAUAUUUAAUUCAGAUUAUCAGACUCAAUCGGAUACCAGUACAAAUAAUAUGGUAAGUAUUUUUUGUCACUCGCAACAGACAUAUUUGUUUUAAUAAACUAUUUACAUUCCUAGUUUUUAUUGUUGCAGGAAAAUGAAGAUACAAUACAUGGAAGACGAAUUAUAGAUUUUAGUUUUUUUAUAAAUCAAUUACUUAUACCUAAUUGAUAAACAUGGUGAAAAGUUUGGUUGUCGAUUAAAUAAUUUAAAAAUUGUAAACGA